rnacentral:lncRNA from 1 species
CAUAACGCAAAGUCCAUGAGAUCGGGUCCACUGACUUUCCAGAUCACUCAAUUUCAUAAAGAAAAUGAUUUCUUAAACAAAAACAUCCCAACACUUUACAUUGUGCUAAAAACCUAAAACCUCUGAACAUUGACACUAGGGCAAAUUUGCAAUAGAUCAUUAACAUGAAACCCAAGAUGGCAUCAGUUUUCUCAUAGAAACUCACACAAACCCAAGCGCAAAGUAAGAUAAGUGGUGACAAGCAAACACCUUUGACUUUACAAAACCUUCAAUUCCACAUUUUCUUUCGUCCUAAAACAUAUGAGUUCCAAGAAAUUCUUCUUUAAUUCUCCUACAUUUUCGGAAAAACUACACAAAUAUGUCUGAAAAAAAUUGUCAUGUCUCAAAAUUUAGAUCAAGAUCAAACACUAGCAACUUUUAUAUGCUAAAUCUGUAAGUAAAACCCACCAAGCUGCAUUAACAUAUUGGCAAGAAACGAAGAGAAAUAGUAGAUCUUAAAUAAACAAGGGCAACAGCGGGAUACACUAAACCUGAGCUCGAGUUCAAACAAUGAAAACCCAGAUAAAAACACUUCCCCAUCAAACAAACGAUAUUAUAAAAGAUGCCACCAAAUCCUCGUUUUACCUUUAUACAACUGAACAAACUAAGCUUCAACCAAGUCCCAAAAACAUGAGAAACUGAAGAUCCAAGAUCUUACCACCCUUUCCCUUCUGAUGAACAGAACUAAGAAAGCAGGAGAAACCCAACUCUCAAGAGAAAAAAUCGGAACAUGUCUUAAAGAAAGAGCAGAGAGGAGAACAUCGUGAACUAACACAAAACAAAACAGACAAUACCUUUAUGUAUCUUAGAUUUUAGAUCCCUAUUUCCAAUUUUGACAAUCCCCUUGGCCAGAAGGAAACAGCAUGGAAAACCAGAACAAUUCAAACUAAUGCAGUGGUCUCCAACUGUCAAUUACACGCCGAGAGAGAGAGAGAGCGAGAGAGAGAAGAAUAAGAAGAUUAAGAGACUUAGUCGUGAGCAAGACUACAAGCACUACUACAACACAUCAUGAUUAUUCCAAGUUUUUAAAUACAAAACAUGCAGCUCCGUAUUCGUUUUUUUCGAAUUAAAAAAUGGAUAAAGAGGAAGAAGAUGAUGAUGAUGAUGAGCAGGUUCUUAGUAGAGGAAAAACGCGUGACUGCAAACAGGGUGUGGAUCAAGAGAGUUUAUGGGUAUUUGUGGGUCGCCGGCUACUACUUACCCAACCAGCUUCUCUUUUUUUUUAAGUUUCUUUUUUCAAAGAAGGCGAAGGGGUUUAUGAUUAACCGGGGGGUGGGUUUGGACAAGACGGAGAAAUUUUUGUUUAUUUUAUUAUUUUAAUUAAAAGGGUAUAACAGGAAUUUCACCAGAUUACGUCGAGAAAAGAGAGCUUGUGAAGGAAU